ensembl:lncRNA
CACAAGCAAAGGACCCAGGCAGAAGAAAGCAAGAUGCAUUACGAUGGCUCUUUCAGUUGUUGCACAACAUAAAAAGAACAGCUUUGAGAAAACUAUUGUGGCAGAGUUCACUAGCAGCCUGGACAGUCUACUCUCCUUAGCUCACUGCCUGAAGAAGGCUGAGCCUAGUAUUCAUGAGGAGGUGAGGGCCUACAUCUAUGAAGCAUCUAGAGGCACAGCAGCUGUAGCCAAAGAGUCUGACCUUUGGAUGCAGAAUGUCCACUCCCAAAUAGUGCACCUGAUAGCACAGAAAGAACACCUGAAGCUGGAAGAAAAAAAUGCCAAGAGGAUCCUUGAAGAUCUUGAAAUCUCCCUGAAGCACAAGAAGGAGAACCAAUAUAUAGCUCAGCAUAUUCUGGAUGAGCGGGAGACUUACUUGGCAUUGCUGAAGCGACACCUGGAGAAAGCAAACCGAGAUGUAGCAGAGACAGAAGUAGAGAUAAACUCUUUUCUUUCAGGGUCAUUAUUAUUAUUGCUUGUUGGUNGUAUUGUACUUGCAGUUAAAAUAAUUGCUCUAGGAAAAGCCAAAGAGGUGGCAAAGGAAGCCCAGAUAGCAGUUGCCGAUGGAGAGCAUGCAGUUGCNGAAGCACGAACAGGGUCGGCGAAAUGCUCCAGAGAUGUGGAAAUGACUGAGGAGAAGAUCAAGGCACAGAGGAAGAGACUGGAUGACCUGGAGAAAGAAACUCAGCAGAAUUCAGCANAGCUGAAAGAGCUGCAGGACUUGAUGGACCUGCUGAAUAAGGGUAGAUUAUUCCUCAAACUCCUCAAUGGUCGAGUACAAGUGGCAAAAGUGAUGGUGUGCGUCAUUUGUCCCAUGGAAGAAUUAGCACAAAUUCUGGAAGAGAUUAAUGAAUUAAGUCAACCCCAGGUUGAAGAAGGAAAUGAAAAGGAGGUACCAUUUCUNAUCACCCCAAAAGUUAAGAUGUUGGCUGCAGAGUUGCAAGAUGCCGUGAAGCUUCUGAGUGGAACCAGGAGAGGCAGGUUAAAGUCAGUGUUUCUUCAUGGCGUAGCCCUGAAGCACAGCUUGAUGGGAAUGUCUGCACAAAAAUAGUAAACAUAGAGCUUUUUCCCAUUGCUUUUUGUCUUGUACAAAUCUUUUGCCUGUAAAUGCAAUCCUUAGCAGUCAAUCUAUGCAUAGUACUAAAAGGCCAUUAAGUAUUGCUUGAGUUUUUCUUUCCUUUCCUUUGUUAAAAUAGAUCCUAGUACAAUAUUCAGUGCCUUUACAAAUGAUAAGGUAUGAGCACAGUAUUUUGAUGUAGUAUCAUAAUUUUAGGCCCUGGACAUUGACUUUAUACUGUAAAAUAAUAAUAAAAAUUGUUAAUUCUGAUAAAUAAAGUUACUC